rnacentral:lncRNA from 1 species
CGUAAAGGGGCCUGCAUGUGCCACUCUCAAUUUAUUGGCAGAACACCAGCAAUCCAGUGUUCAUGACUACAAACUUCCUGAAAAGUUAAGAGGUCAAGUAUUUUUUGAAAAACCAUAAUGCGUUGGAUAUAGGUCUCCUGUGUAUGUAUUUCAGUAUCGACUGGAAGACGAAUGGACAAGUAUGACUGAUAUCAUGUUAAUGAUUUUUAACUCAGAAAAUGAAACAUUUCGUUUUGUUGAUUUCCAUGUAAUGAUAUUUGAUUGGUUGAGGUAUACUAACCCUUUAAAAGAACCAUUGGAAUGUUUCAUAUCUCCAAAUUUAGAUAUGUUUCUAUUCAGGUGUCCUAUGGAAGCAGCUUGUACAGGAUAUUAUAAUUGGUAUUCAAUAUCAGAAAAUCAAUUGGCGACAAUCGGGACUGAAGACCGGGCAAACGAUUCAAUGAUCCCAGACAAAGAUGGAGUAAAUCUUGUGUUUCAUCCAAGUUAUCCUUGUACAAUUGUUGCUCUUAUACAUUUGAAUUCGAAUCGUUCAUUCCUAUGCUUAAACCAUUUGUAUUCCAAAAACAUGAAAAGGGGUGAAAAUAUGACACAGAACAAAACAAGAUGGUAUAGACAAUCUGAUAAUAAAUUUCCUGAUAUACCAUGCAAAUCUUAUGACAGAAAUAACAAUUGCAAACUAAUUGCAAGUCGUAGUAAAGAUGUAUUAGCAUAUUGAUUCAUUACUGGAGACACAGACACCAGUACUAUUGUGCAUAUAAUAAUAUGUUCUUUUAAGGACAUGUCUCCAUUACUCAAGGAAGAAAAACGUUUAAGUCAAAGCUUAGAAAAUAUAGUGCCAUUUUUCUCUCAGUGCGAUUCAGAAUUACAAAUCUGGAGUCCGAACUUUUCAACAAAAUAUGCUUCCUUUCAAGUUCCUCGUCUAAAUCUGAUGGUUAUGUGCCGAACUGCGAUUCUGAGGACUUGCACUCCAUGUAGUAUAGUAGACUUGCCCUUACCAAUGUCAUUACAAGGAUAUUUACAAUUUAAAUAAUUGUUGAUAAUUAUUUGUUUCAAG